CAAUUCUUCCUCAACCUCUGCUCCUCCACCCUAUAAUCCUUUUAUCACCUCCCCUCCUCACACCUGGUCAGGCUUACAGUUUUGUUCCAUGGCUAGCCCUCCCCCACCUGCCUAGCAAUUUACUCUUAAAAUGGUGGCUGGAACUAAAGGCAUAGUCAAGGUUAAUGCUCCUUUUCCUUUAUUCCCAAAUCAGAUAGUGUUUAGGCUCUUUUUCAUCAAAUAUAAAAAUCCAGCCCAGUUCAUGGCUCGUUUGGCAGCAACCCUGAGACACUUUUCAGCCCUAGACCCCAAAAGGUCAAAAGGCCGUCUUAUUCUCAAUAUACAUUUUAUUACCCAAUCUGCUCCCAACAUUAAAUAAAACUCCAAAAAUUAAAUUGUGGCUCUCAAACCCCACAACAGGACUUAAUUAACCUUGCCUUCAAGGUGUACAAUAAUAGAGUAGAGGCAGCCAAGUAGCAACAUAUUUCUGAGUUGCAAUUCCUUGCCUCCACUGUGAGACAAACCCCAGCCACACCUCCAGCACACAAGAACUUCCAAACACGCCUAAACUGCAGUGGCCAGGCGUUCCUCCAGAACCACUUCCCCCAGGAGCUUGCUACAAGUGCCAGAAAUCUGGCCACCAGGCCAAGGAAUGCCCAGCAGUCCUCCUAAGCUGUGUCCCAACUGUGUGGGACCCCACUGGAAAUUGGAUUGUUCAACUCACCUGGCAGCCACUCCCAGAGCCCCUGGAACUCUGGCCCAAGGCUCUCUGACUCCUUCCCAGAUCUUCUCGGCUUAGCGGCUGAAGACUGAUGCUGCCCAAUUGCCUCGGAAGCCCUGUAGACCAUCACAGACACCGAGCUUUAGGUAGCUCUCACAGUGGAGGGGACGCGAGUGAAAGUAUCCUCACAUGGCAGAAAGAGAAAUAAAGAGGGCUCAUGAGUGCCCUGCCCUCACGGCUUCAUCUAAACAUAAUUACCUCCAAGGACUCUGCCUUCAAAUACCAUCACAUUGGAGGUUGCAUGUAGAGAUGAACCCCCAGUGGAUUCCUGUGAUGUCCUUUGCAGCAGUGUCAACAGUGAAGUCCCAGAUGACACGACUGGCAAGGAUCUGAGGUUACUACGGUAUCCGGUGGUUAGUGGUCAUUUUGGAGGUUAUGUACAGACUACUAAUAACUUGCUCUCACUAUUGGAGCUGGAGAAGAACUUAAGAAAAAAAUAAAUGCAAAUUAUACCAUAUACUCUUAAAGAACUUCACAAACAGAUGGUUUAUCUUCCCAACACCCAGAAAAAGUAGGCCACAGAACAUGGAUGAAGCUGGAAACCAUCAUUCUCAGCAAACUAACAGAGGAACAGAAAAGCAAACACCGUAUGUUCUCACUCAUGAUUGGGAGUUGAACAAUGAGAACACAUGGACACAGGGAGGGGAAUAUUACACACCGGGGCCUAUCAGAGCGUGGGAGGCUACGAGAGGGAUAGCAUUAGGAGAAAUACCUAAUGUAGAUGACGGGUUGAUGGGUGCAGCAAACCACCAUGGCUCAUGUAUACCCAUGUAACAGACCUACACAUUCUGCACAUGUAUCCCAGAACUUAAAGUAUGAUUUAAAAAUAUAUAUAGAGAGAGAGAUAUAUAAAUUGCUGAGAGUGGAUUUUAAGUGUUCUCACCACACAACAAAAUAAGUAUGUGAAGUAAACAUAUAUUAGUUAGCUUGAUUUAGCCAUUUCACACUAUAUAAAUAUUUCAAAACAACAUGUUGCACACUAUAGACAAUUUUUAUUGGUCAACUAAAAAUAAAAUUUUUAAAGGGAGAAAAUAAGAGAGAAUUGGCAUCAGGGUUGCAAAGGAAUGAAUAAAUACAUGGGCCAUGAAAAACUGAUCAAUAUAAGGGUUUGAGAGGAAGGUGAACAGUUUGCAAAGUUGUAACUUUGAAAGAUCUCCCUUAUUAAUUUAUUUGCUCGUUUAAAAGAGUCAGGGUACAAUGGAAUAUUCAACUUAAUCUAGAAGAGGUAGAGUGGACUGAAAUUAAUUUCCCUCUAACAUGCAUUUGUUGCUCUAAUCAACUAUCUAGAGCUACACAAAAUACAUACGAUUUUCUAAAAUUAUUUAAAUUCUUGAAGGUAAAUGCCAUUUCUUCUCUUAUAGAUGAUAGACCUUCAGACUUUCACAUGACUCUUUAUAAAUAGUCCCCAUGCUCAAAACGACAAACACCACUCUCUUAGAUUUCAACUUAGCAAGGCAUCCCAAACUAAACUUCACAUCCAAGGGAGAAGGCAAAUGAAGGAGAGUAAUGACCAGCUAUUUGUUUGAGACAAUAGGUACAUUCAUCAGAUUACCUCCAAACAUCAGCCAAGGGAUUUUAGUUUGGAACAAAGAUAGUUGGAAUAUUAAUUAUUUUCAAAUGGUGGAAGAGCUGCCAUAGAGAAUUAGAGAAAAUUUUAAACUAGAAGUUUGCAAAAAAUAUAUUCAAAUAAUAGCUUUGUUUUUAUUCUAAAAUGUGACCUUGGCUAAGCCACAUAAUCUCUCUGGGUCUCUGUAUGUGGGAGCUACUGAUAAUACCUGUAUCUCUGUUUCAGGUGAUGAUCAAAAUGCCUAUUUUGUGAUUUGUGAAAUGAAAUGUGCUGUAGGCAUGUAAGGUGAUUUUUACAAAUAAUUAUUUUCUUGUUGUUUUUGAAGUUCCAGAGUACAGGAAAGGAAACAGGAAAAACAUAACUGAGGAAUAGUUGUUAGGUCGGUGAGACAUUGAACCUUCUAACAUCUGAAACUGUCCACUAACUGGCAAGAGCAUUUCAAUAAAAAGCAAACACCUCAUCAUAUUGAAUCAUAGUGAAUAUAUAAAAAGACACUGUACACAUUUCUUCAGAUAUACAUACUGUAAUUGUCAUUCUAAAUUGUUAAAAAAUUACUAUAUAUAGUAAUUCUAAAAUAUAUAAUAUAUAAUACAUAAAUAUAUAUUAUAUAUAUAAAUUAUAUAUAUAUACACACAUAUAUAUUAGAAUGGAUUUCACACUGGGUUUUACUCCCAUUAUGUGAUGCAUAAAAAAGUAAACAACAAUAAAACAGUUAAAUUAAUGAGCUUGGUUGGUUUUCAAAACAUGUUAGGCCCAAUAUGUUAGAGAAUUAAUAUAGGGAUUUUAAAAAUGUGUUAAACUCAACAUGUUCUUACUAAUAACAGGGGAUUUCUGAUAUCAAGGACCAGUUAAUGUGGUUAAUAUUUUGUAUUAGAAGGAAAGGGAAGAGAUGUGCUGGGCAAAAGAGGAAAAUAUAGAUUUUUUAAAAAUAAAUAGAAAUCUGAGCUAAUAUUAAUAAGGGUAAAAAAGGAAAAAGUGAUAACAUCAUGUGGAACAUUCCAGAAGUUAUGUGCAGGGCUCAGUAUGGGGGCAACACAUCAAUAGCAUAUAUAUACAAGGCCAACCUCUUCCUCUCCAUUCCCAGAAAUCUAGUAGUGGGGCACUGUAUGUGUACAGGUAACAUGUUAAAUAGAUAGGCUGUGCUGGAUGCUAUGGUUGCAGAAUGUGGUUGAAGAAGAAUUGCGAAGCCAACAAAGCAAGGGUUGGGGCAGAGUUUAUGAGUUAUAUGAAGUUUGUGUGGGGACUGAGAAUUCUGGAUUUUAGACAUCCUGUGUCCUGCAUGGCAACUCCUCCACCCCCACCAGUCAUGUCAGGUGGAGGCCACUAUAGCAGAUAUAGUACGCCUACAUUAAGGGAAGGAGGUAGUUCUACGUAAUGAAAACUCACUUUCCAAGUUGACCCUUCUUAAUCCUCUGCUGGAAAACCAGUGUACUGUGAUACCCAAGGGCAUGGUUUUAUCCUUUGGUGCCACUAUUCAUCAUAUCCUCAUUGCAUUGGAAAAAUUAAUUGAUUACUCUUGACUUCACUUUUCUGUCAAAUUAAAAUUCCAUUACCAUUCAUUUGAAAAGAUCUGAUGUGGUUUAAGUGAGAUUAUAUAGUGUGUGGAUCAUUGCUCAGCAUGUGAUAAGCACUCAGACAUUUUAGCUAAAUGAAAACAACACUAAUACCAGUACUACUAAAACUGAGCCCUAAAGUAAUCACCUGAGUUUUAUUUAAACAAAAACAUAAUUUUCUUCCAUCUUUCUGUAAAAUUGUUCAACAAGAAAAUAUUAACAUUCAUAGAUGAUUUCAGAGUUUAUAGGAACUUUUGCAUACAGCUCACUUAUCAGAGCAACUCAGUUGGAUCCUGUUAUUAAUUUCCUCACUUUAGAAAUGAAGGGACUGAGAUCAAGAAAAGGAAGUGACUUGCUCAAGGAUACAUAUACAACAAGUAACCAUGCUAAGAAUUCUCAUUUGAUGUGCGAUUUCCCCCAAUCAGUGACUAUAGAUAUAUAUAGAUACAUAGAUGUGUAUAUAUAUAGAUGAUAGAUAGAUACGUAGAUGGGGAUACAGAUACUACACCUGUGUAUACCAUAUCUAUGUAUGUUUAUAUGCUAUUUGUAUGUUCCACUUCGGAUAUCUUCUCACAUUCAGAUAUCUAGUGUCCACAUGUUUUUUUCCCUGGAUUCCUCUCGAAACAUAAUCAUAUGGCAAAUAAAGUGAGUUCUGCAAUAAACUUUAAGAUUUAAUAUAAUACAUUUUCAGGGAGGGUGUGGGCAGAAAAAUUGUGUGGCUUUAAGUUUUCUUAGCAAAUAAGUGACUUCCCUCCUAAGAUGCAGCUGCUUUUCUUCAUUUUUUGUAACUGUUUUAUGUUUCACGAAAUUGCUCUGUCCUGAUUUUAACUGUGUCAUAUUCCAGCUCUCAGAGGGUAGCCAAAAUUUGGAAACAAAAUGUUGUUUUGCUAAUUCCCAUUUGUUCUGAGAUUUCUCAUUUGCUUAUACAUGACCACAUUUAACUUUAUAGCCUUCAGAAUUUUCCUUAUCAGGAUUUUUAACUUCUUGCUCGAUCAGCCCCAAAUCUGGGACAUUUGGGUAGGAUUUUAUUGACUAUACCCAGAAUAUAUUAAUAGUUUCUACAUUAAGGGAAAAAACAACUUAAUAAGACAAUUGCUAAUGAUAAGACCAGGUAAUUUGUAAAAGCAUACAUGGGAGACAUUUGACAAAAUACAAAUGCACUAGAAAUGAAGGCUAUAUAAAUUAAAGAAGCAGUUAGAUUCAAUUUUUAAUCUACAAGAUGAGAGGUUUUAAAAUAAAUUUAAAAAAUUAAAAUGAUCAUAUUUUGGGGGGGAAAGAUGUUCACUAAUACACGAAGAUAGGAAUACAAAUUUCAGAAGUACUUAUAAAAAGGAAUAUAUCAUCAUUUUUAAAUCCAAAAUAUGCUCACCUUUAAAUUUAUAAAUUCAUUUUCAUAAUAGAUACAUUUGACAAUCAAUUAGAUAUUUCUCUCCUACCUUCCUGUCUUAUCCUCUGUGUUCUCACUGGGAGAAGAGACAAGCUAAGGAAAGAAGAUGGGAAAAUGUUUCCAAUUUUAUUUGAAAGGGAAAAAUCCCUAUGAAAACAAUUACUAUGCUGCACAAAUUGUAAUCCACACUCAAAACGGAAGGCUGUGGAUCAAGCUCUCCCAGUCCUGUAUGUUUAUUUCCAUGUGUCUUAGGUGUGCAGAACAACUGUCAAUAGAUGGUGUCGGCUGGGCAUGGUGGCUCACGCCUAUAAUCCCAGCACAGAUCACUUAAGGUCAGGAGUCCAAGACCAGCCUGGCCAAUAUGGUGAAACCCCAUCUCUACUAAAAAUACAAAAAUUAGCCAGGUAUAGUGGCGGGCACCUGUAAUCCCAGCUGCUCUGGAGGCUGAGGGAGGAGAAUCACUUGAACCCAGGGAGCAGAAGUUGCAGUGAGCUGAGACUGCAGCACCACUGCACUCCAGCCUGGGUGUCGCAGUGAGACUCUGUCUUAAAAAAAAAAAAAAAAAAGAAAAAAAAAAAGAAAGAAAAGAAAAGAAAAAUAGAUGGUGUCAGUUGUUCCUCUAAAGAAUUUUAUACGACCCACAGACUUUCUCUGAUCUGUCGCUGGCAUACAUAAUGCUACCUAUUAAAACUAAUUAGUUGUGCUCCUUUGGUAUAAUUAAUAAGCAAUAACCACACUGUUGUUUGAGGAUGCUAACAUUUUAAUGUCCUCUUGUUAUCAGCCUCACUUGGAUACUGAGGAGUAUAAUGGUUCCACAGAGUCAUAAAGUAGUCAGGACCCUUUUUAGCUUUAUUGUUAUUGCCAACUCUAGCCUAUUUUUGACUGUGGUGUUGAACCAUUUCAGAUAAUUGAGAUAGUUACAGGCACUGGGUAAGAAAUAGUUAUGACAUGAAUGUGAAUACAAGGUGAUUACAUUUAUUGCCUGUGUCUUCACAAUUAGAAUGAGAAAUUUAAGAUACGAAAUUUAGCUCAAACGAUUCUGGCUCUUUAAGCUAAUUAAAUACCCUGAAGUCUCCUAAAGCCUUAUUUUGAUACUCAUUAGUGGACAGAGAAGUUUGGGAUACCCCAAGAUGUGCUAGUUCCCUGUAGUCUAGAAUAAAACAGAAGUCUAAUCCACCCAUUCAACAUGUACUCACUAAGUAUAUGACACUAAGUGCUGGGCUCUUUCUUGAUAAUUGAAAAUAUUGUCUCCACUUACAUGUAGCUUUCAGAAAACAUCAUAGACUCUCAAAAUUAGAGACAGAAUUAAAAGGUAUCUAGUUCAACUCUCAUUGAAUCCUUGAGUAGCAAACCCGAAGACCUCAUCUAGUAGCUUUUCAGCCUGGAAUUUGACAUCUCAAGCUUUGUUUAACCUUACAGUUUUCUUUGGGGCAUUGCAAGAGGUCUGCCUCUUCUUUCACAGGGAUAUGUUCCGUUAUUAUGCAAACCCAACCUGAUUUCUCACAUGCCUGUUCAUUCUGCUGUUUACUGUAUAACAUGAUUUUGAAUCCUUCCAGGACUCUUCCUGUUUGGGUCUGUAUGUUUGUCUGUGGGUCUGUAUGGCUUCUUAAGUCUGAUGUCUAAAAUGGAAUUCAGUUGUCUUGCCAUGAUUCUUUCAAUAGAGAGAGGGACUAUUGGACUAUGAACACAUCCUUUAUUCAAGAUAGUAUCUUUUAAAUGUAAACCAAGUUCACCUUGGAAUAAAGGAAAAAGAAAACAACAUAUAAACAUUGACAUAGAAAUUAGUCUGUCAAGGGAAUCACUUCAACUCUCCCAUGAGGAGAUUCACCUCAUGUAUCACUGUGCUGACAACAGAGAGUGGGCACUCUGCUGGAGUAUCAGAGAUCACUUCCCUAGAGAAGUCAGCUUAGCUGGGCCUUAACAAUGGGGAUACACUUCAAAGAAUAAAAGAUUUUAAUGAAUAGAGAACUUUACAAAAUGUCAAAUACCAAAGAUAAGAGGUGGAAGUGCUACUUUGAAUUAUCCAAAAAGACAAGUAAUCAAAAUCAGAAUGCACUGACUCACCUGAGAUGUACAAGGCCCUCUUGUCCUCCAGAAAGUUGGAGUCUACCAGUAAUAAGGACAUGUAGACAUCUUGUUCACACAAACCAGAGCAGGUCAUUGUUAACUGUGCCUCUUAUGGCAGCACUGAGCUAAUAGUGGUUAAUUCUCCCUGGAGAAAAUUGGAAAUGGCUUCCCAGAAGGUGAAAACUAGUGCCAAUUAUAAACAAUAGCUAAAAUAUAUUCUAUAUUUAUAUUGUGCCAGCAUUGUGCUAAAAGUAAUAUGUGUCACUUUUUAUUUCUUGCCCAGAUUCUAAUACAGAGCUAUUAUUCCUUCCUUCCCUCCCUCCCUCCUUCCCUUUCUUUCCUUCUUUCCUCCCUCCCUUCCUUCCUUCAUAUAUGUAAUAUGAAUGUACUCAAUCUAAUACAUUCUGUUAUAGAUAAGGAAAGUUGAGGUUUUAGAGAUAUAAACCUGGUAUAUAACUUACCAGGGUCCCAAAGCAAGCCAGUGGCAUAAUAAGUAAGAACACAGACAGUUUGACUCAAGAGUCUUCAGUCACUGCUACAUAACACUAAUCUCGUGUUAUGCUUGGCCAAUUCAUAACCAGUGGUUUAUGGGCUUGUCAUUAACUUUCCAUUUACCUGAAAUUAGUUUUGACACUGAAUUAUGGCUUCAAGUUAACUGAGGAGUUUCUGCCAACAGAAAACAAAAUUCCUCCUAAUGUUGAUAAAGGGCUGUUACGUUGACUCUCUUGAUUCACUUGUGCUCUACAACUUUGCUAUUCAGUGUUGUGUGAAUUACAGCCAUCACCAUCUCCUGUGAGCUUGUUAGAAAUGGAGAACAUUGGGCCCCACCACGGUUACACUGAACUAGGAUUUGCACUCUAACAAGACCACCAGGUAUGUUGCUAUAAACUGACAUGCAUUAUCUGGGAAGACUUCCACUCCACAGAUGCUGCUGAUGUAUAGGGGCGGUGAGCACAACAGCAGAUUCAGCCUAACCAGGCUCAUGUGCUCAGGAAUGGACCAGACUACCAACUGACACAAAGCUAAAAAUAUCAAGGCUUAAUUUGAUUUACUUUACUUUAAAGUACUGAAUUUAUGAUAAUACCACUAAGACCAAUAGUGUUAACGGAAACAAUCACAGUUAAUUUUAUUGGUUGAUUAUUAUGUUCCAUCCCGACAGAGUGUGCUAGGAAUGUAGAGAUUAAUCAGACCUCCUCUCAGUCAACAAGGCAUUUGUGGUGGUGUGGCAUCAGAUAAGAUUGUAACUCUUGGCCGGGCGCGGUGGCUCACGCCUGUAAUCCC
rnacentral:lncRNA from 10 species